rnacentral:rRNA from 1 species
UACGAAGGGGGCGAGCGUUGUUCGGAUUUACUGGGCGUAAAGGGCGCGCAGGCGGCAGACCAAGUCAGGCGUGAAAGCCCCGGGCUUAACCUGGGAGGUGCGUCUGGGACUGGUAUGCUAGAGUUCGGGAGAGGAGAGUGGAAUUCCCAGUGUAGAGAUGAAAUUCGUAGAUAUUGGGAAGAACACCGGUGGCGAAGGCGGCUCUCUGGACCGAGACUGACGCUGAGGCACGAAAGCGUGGGGAGCAAACAGG